GCCAGCGAUCCUCAGGUAGGGGCCUCCCUUUCGGCCGAAACCGAAAGGUACUGCCGCCGAGCCUUCAUCGGAUCGCCGGUACCCCUCCACCACGAUAAGGUGGCGGCAUGGAGGGGCGACGAUCGGGCCCGGGGCAGCGGCCCCAAAUAUUGUAAUCUUAUUUCAGAAGCGGAUGGAGAAAAGAACAGCCGACUGAGGUAAUAAAUAACAUUUUCCUUUUUUUUUCUUUUGAAAUAUUCUGCUCAGUGCUAUCGGCCGGCUAGGUACCAAUUACUUACGCCGACGCCGAUCCUAAAUAAAUACUGCAAACCUAUAAACCUUGUAAAGCACCGAUCAGAUAAUCUCUCUAAAUUAUGCAUUGUUUCCGAGACUCUCCAUGAAUCACUCCUCCUUCUCAUCCUUUUCCCCACGAACCUCAUUGGUUAUCAACUUCCUAAACCUACUCCGUGCCCCUUUUCCCGAAACUUCCAUUGGGCACUAGAUUUCCCAAGCCCUCCUUAUCCAUUCCUCAGGAAAACUACUGGUCCUUCGAUUUCCAAAAUCACCCCUCUAAUCGACCAUCCGAAGGGCUUAAAAGAGACCUUUCUGACUCUAUUUUCUACUUCCCACUUCCUUCUUCUCGCUGACCGUCGUUGAGAACUCCAGGGCAACUCUUCCGCUGGGAAACACCAAGGUAUCAUCUGCCGAAACGCUUUUCUUCACUGGCAACACCGUGGAGAACACGCUGAGACCCUGCUGACGUUCCGGCUUGCCGAUCAUCAACACGAUAACUCCUAACCCUGUCUUUACCACUUUCCCACGAAGGCGUUACUAGUUCUACGCCCUCGUUCAUUCCGCUUAUCUAUUUCCCGAGCUAUUUGCUCAUCGACGACGUUAGUAGACCCACGUUUCCGAUCUCUAAACUCCUCAUUCUCCAAACCUCUUAUAUGAGUCUCGCGAGUGUAAAAUAGUUAGACCAGAUUCGACCACACCAGAGCAACACUCUUCUCCAGCCGCAGCCAGCGUUUCGAAAUCUUCUGUAUCACAGAGGGAACCUGGCGACUAAAGUGAGUGGACAAAUAAUAUUAUUACCACGCGCUUAUUGCCGUGCGUCGUUAAUAUCGUGCACUUUCUUAUUAAUAAAUUCCCCUUUAUUUUCGUAUUCCAAAUCAUCUCCUGAUUAUUUUUCAUCGAUUGCGGACCUUGUCGUGGAAGCAGAAUAAAGAGUCGCGUACCCUGAGAUCCCGCUAACAAUCGUAUUCGGCCUUUCAGCCUGCUAAUAGUUUCAACGUAGCCGCUCACAUUGAAACGCGUCCUCGCGAAACUAACUAAACCCGCGACUAAAAU